UCAAUGAAUGCCAUUGGGCUUCUGACUCGAUUGGUGAAAUGAUCUCUCUGGAUGACGAUGAAAGUCAUCAGAACGUUAGUAAAUGUGCUAAUAUCCCGAACGAGUUUUUUUAUCUUUAGAAAUGUCAAUGUACCUUUAGAAAACCGGCCACGUCCUUUGCAUCUUGGAACGGCUACACAAAUUGGUUAGUGUUUCACUAGGAAGUCUUAAGAGUUUUGGAAUGGUACAGCAAGCUAAUAUAUAUUUGUUGCUGCAGGUGCCUUACCUACUGAAGGAAUACCUUGUUUGUUGAAGGUGCUACUUCCAUCUACGUGCAGUGGCCUGCCUUCUUUGUAAGCAAAAUUGAUUGAAACAGAAAGGGGAAACGUUGGUUUUAUUCUCCAAAGCAUCAUCUCUGAGUGGAAAAGUUGAAAAUUCGUUACCUUUUUCAUUUUCAGGUAUGUCCGGGAUCUUCUUCUAAACCCUCCUGCUUAUGAUAUUGCUCUGAAAAUCCAAGGUAAUUUGACAAAUGUGAAGAGCUUUCUUAGAUUAUUCCCUUUUAGUUUUGUUAUGAUUCUUCUUGCCACAUUAUUGUUAUUUGCAGAAACGUGCAAGCUCAUGAGCACAAUAACAUGCUCAGUUCCGGAGUUUACCUGUGUUUCAUCUGCUAAGGUUUAAGUGACCUUGCUCAAGAUCCCUCUUUUAAAGGUACUUUUUGUGCAGCUUAUAAUUGCUAACAUCUAUAUGCGUCUUUGUGCAGCUUGUGAAGCUUCUUGAACAGCGGGAAGCCAACUACAUUGAGUUCUGCCGGAUAAAAAAUGUGCUUGAUGAAGUAUUACACAUGCACAGACAUCCUGAGCUUGUGGAAAUACUGAAGUUAUUGAUGGAACCUACUUGGGUGGCUACUGGUUUGAAGAUUGACUUUGAAACUUUUGUAAGUUUGUGCAUUUAGUUUUACCAGUCUCUGGUUUCCUCAGCUGAUGAAUAUGAGUAUAAAUUGAAUGUUUGUGGUUUCUUGCCAGGUCAAUGAAUGUCAUUGGGCUUCUGAUUCAAUUGGUGAAAUGAUCUCAUUAGAUGACGAUGAAAGUCAUCAGAACGUUAGUAAAUGUGCUAAUAUCCCGAACGAGUUCUUUUACGAUAUGGAGUCUUCAUGGCGUGGUCGCGUUAAGGGAAUCCAUAUAGAGGAAGAAAUCACACAAGUGGCCAAAUCGGCAGAGGCUUUAUCUUUAGCGGUAA
rnacentral:lncRNA from 1 species